GAGUUUGAUCUUGGCUCAGGAUGAACGCUAGCGGCAGGCUUAAUACAUGCAAGUCGAGGGGCAGCACGGGUAGCAAUACUUGGUGGCGACCGGCAAACGGGUGCGGAACACGUACGCAACCUUCCCGAAACAGGUGAAUAGCCCUCCGAAAGGAGGAUUAAUACACCGUGAGAUAUAGUUGUGGCAUCACACUUAUAUUAUAGGUAGCAAUACCGGUUUUGGAUGGGCGUGCGCCUGAUUAGGUAGUUGGUGCGGGUAACGGCCCACCAAGCCUCCGAUCAGUAACUGGUGUGAGAGCACGACCAGUCACACGGGCACUGAGACACGGGCCCGACUCCUACGGGAGGCAGCAGUAAGGAAUAUUGGUCAAUGGACGGAAGUCUGAACCAGCCAUGCCGCGUGAAGGAUGACUGCCCUCUGGGUUGUAAACUUCUUUUAUCUGGGACGAAAAAGGGCUUUUUAGCUCACUUGACGGUACCAGAGGAAUAAGCACCGGCUAACUCCGUGCCAGCCGCCGCAGUAAU
rnacentral:rRNA from 1 species